CCUACGGGAGGCUGCAGUGGGGAAUAUUGGACAAUGGGCGAAAGCCUGAUCCAGCCAUGCCGCGUGUGUGAAGAAGGCCUUCGGGUUGUAAAGCACUUUCAGUGGGGAAGAAAGCCUUGGGGCUAAUACCCUCGAGGAAGGACAUCACCCACAGAAGAAGCACCGGCUAACUCCGUGCCAGCAGCCGCGGUAAUACGGAGGGUGCGAGCGUUAAUCGGAAUUACUGGGCGUAAAGCGCGCGUAGGCGGUCUGAUAAGCCGGUUGUGAAAGCCCCGGGCUCAACCUGGGAACGGCAUCCGGAACUGUCAGGCUAGAGUGCAGGAGAGGAAGGUAGAAUCCCCGGUGUAGCGGUGAAAUGCGUAGAGAUCGGGAAGAAUACCAGUGGCGAAGGCGGCCUUCUGGACUGACACUGACGCUGAGGUGCGAAAGCGUGGGUAGCAAACAGGAUUAGAUACCCCGGUAGUC
rnacentral:rRNA from 1 species